AGUAGAGCCUUUACACUCUACCUCAACUUCACUUUUUACACUUAGAACUACAAUUCCCAACCACCUUAGCUUCCCUCCAUUUGCAGACCAAUUUCAAAUGCCCCAAUCACAGACAGCCACAUACUCUCAUUUAGAUUGACUCACACUACAUCCAACCAACACCCUUCUUCCCAGAAACAAACCCCUUCCUCUUCCUAACUCCCCCCCUCAUUUCUAACUGAAAUACCAAACACACCAGCACUAGGCACUUUCUCCUCUGAUGCAGGAUUAGUUAUCCGAAACGUCAGGAGUUUUCCAAGGAGCAACACGGUAUUUCUGCUUUUAUUCCUUACUAGUUAAUCCAAUUGGUUUUAAAUUAUUUGAAAUAAAGAUUGGCUUUUAAAUUUUAAACAAACACUGUAAGAGGACUACCCUAUCCACCUGCCUGACCACAUGGAUUAGCAUGCUAGCACAUAUCUGGACUGUUUGCUAUACACCUGGCUGUCAAGACUGUGCUCUCUUUCAUGAACUUGGACUGCAACCUCACUCUUUUGGAGGUAACCUGAGCAAUCUACCAUCUGGAACACUACUCUGUGGAUCUUUAACAUCAAACCCAACACAAGCAUGAGGUAUGCGAACCUAGGUCUGCGCUACAGGUUCCACCCAAGUGGGAGGGGUAGACCCAGGACAGUCCAAACCAUCAAGGGUGAUGAUGAGCAAGGGAAACAAAAAAGCUAACCAGCUUACAAAACCCAAUGCUGAGCCCUCCACCU